AUCCGGUUAGUGGCGGAAAAUUUGAAAGUUCUCUUGACAUUAUUUUUGUCAAAUGAUCAGAUUGCAAGUGGAUGAGCACUGACACAUUUUAAUCUAACGUUAACUGUAUAAGAGUACCAUGACUGAGGAAUACGGAGCCCUUUUUAAAAAAGUAUAUACUCGUUCAAAAAUCAUGAAAAUUUAUCAGGCAAAUGACUUGAGUGUUGACUGUUGUACAGACUAUAGUCUGGGUCUGGGAACAGUGUAUCUAUAGAUUAAUAUAAUUCACUUUAUAUGUAUACUACCCCUAAAUCCGCCUUUGCCAUGUCAUGUAAAUCAAACCCCAAGUCGAUCAGUCUCAUGUGAAUCAAUUCCUUAUUUAUUUUUCAUCACAUAUAUACAUACACAUGCAUGUUGACAUGUAUGAACCUUUAUAUUUACUGAAAUACUAUUACUACCCCCUGUUGCACAAACAAAACUUUGUAUCCUAUACAGCUGUCAAACGUAAGCUACACCCAUUGUGUAUAGUUACCUACAUGUACAAAAAAGACAAAAAAAGUAAACAUAAUCAACAACUAAAAAACAAAUGCAUGCAAUGUCAAUGGAUCUACAUCAUGUACAUGUACAAUGAUUAUAAUAUAUAUUAAUGUAUACUACAAAAAAUAGUGAUUUUAAAACAAGAAGUUAGCAAUAAAUAGCAAAUAUUUUACUGGAUUACAGAAUCCUGACGUUUGACAUGAAGACAAAGUAAAGAAAGUAUAUAUAUGUAUCUAAAUGAAUGUGUGAGCCAAAAUUUGUUCCUGUGAAAAAAGUUCCAGUGGUACUAAUUUCUCAGAAAAUAUGUUCUGUGAUUACUUUUUUCACAGACAAUUUCUAUAUAAUUUGUUCCAUCUGUAUGAAAUAAGUUCCACACUUUACCUGGUGAAAUAAGUUCCAGGUUUGGGAGAUUUGUUCCUUACCUAGUGAAAUAAGAUCCAGGUUUGUGAGAUUUGUUCCUUACCUCAUUUUUUUUACCUAGUGAAAUAAGUUCCAGGUUUGUGAGAUUUGUUCCUUACCUCAUGUACCUAGCAUGCCUAGUGAAAUAAGUUCUGGAAUUGUGAGAUUUGUUCCUCACCUGGUGAAAUAAGUUCCUUGUCUGUGAAAUAUGUUCCACUGGUUAAACAAGUUAUCUAAUAUAUAUACUGAGCACUUGUCAUCAGUGAGUUUAAAGUCAUUAUAAAACAUGUAUUUUAUUGAUAAUGCAAGGAUUUGUAUAGUAAGACUAUACAAAUCCUUGGAUAAUGUAAUAAAUAAAAAGUGUAAACAUCCUAUUUGGAUCCUGUGGAAAAGGCAAAAGAUUAAUAACACUAAAAAUUACACUUAUGAACCAGGAAAGAAUAGAAUAAGAAAUAAUAAUUAAUAAAAGUCAUUCCGAAAAGUAUUAUAGUUAAAGAUGAACUUUGUACUAAUUUGAAUAGGACAAAGUGACUGAUCAAUUAUAUUAAAAGACAUAAAGAAACAAAAGACACACUCUUUGGAAACUGUGCCACGACCUUAUAGCUAAGAACAUGUUUGAUUAGAACACCCAUGACAGAUCAAAAGGAAACAAGGAGGUUGAAUACCGCAUAAAUGAUAAAACAUAGAUACAAAUUAUGAUAUGCGUGUAUGUGUUUAUGAUUGUACUUGAAUUAUUCAUCAUAAAAAUAUUGUUUACACCAAAUUUAUAAUACAUUAUCAUCGCUUUUAUAUCAUGUAUAUCUUAUCUUCAUCCUACAGUCAUGCAUUCAAUUGCAAAUGUACCCCCAUGCAAGCACAGUUUAGCAUCCAACUUGCAUUAUAAUUUUAAUGUGUAACAAGAAAAUGUUUUGCUGUGCAAUAUGUUAAAGGUACUUAUUUUCUGAGAAAUAAGAUCACGCAGAACAUAUUCAUUGAUUUCUAUAAAAUACCUUCGUUCAAAUAUCACAGGAUUAGGAACUUAUUUCACUUUUUUUGUAAAUUUUGAUAUUGGAACAAAACUCAUGGCGCUGUGAUUUUUGUGCCGGAACUUAUUUCACAUUUGGUUAAAAAAAUAAGUUACGGAACAAAUUUUAUAAUGCUGGAACAUAUUUUCUGUGAUAUAAGUUCCGGUGGAACAAAUGUCACGCCGGAACAAAUUUUUUGUUACAAAUACAGUAUGCUAAAUGCUGUUUAGUGUUAGCCAAGGCUCCAUGUUGAAGGCUGUACCUUGACCUAUAAUGAUUUACUUUUAUAAAGUGUGACUUGGAUGGAGAGUUGUCUCAUUGGCACUCAUACCACAUCUUCCUUUAUCUAUGAACAUUCAAUGAUUUAAUCAUGAUAAUGAUUCACAGAUUGUUAAUCCCAUGCAUGAACAUGAUGCUAAAUCAACUUGCAUGUUGAAAUUGCACUUUUAAAUCGUCAGAUAAGAAGAGGAUUGCGUUGUAAUCGUGGUAAUGUUUAAAUAUGUUUGGAUAGACAGUUGUCUCAUCAGCACUCAUAUCACAUGAACUUCUUAUAUCUUUUGAUUAAUAUAAUUACACAUCUGCAUGUAUUAUAAACAGAAAUUCAUUGCAUGUACAUGUAUGUAUCUUAUUCUUAUAACAAUAUCCACCAAGAACAUGUCAUGAUGACCAUAAUGAUGAUGAUGAUGUAAAAGAAAUUAAUAUCAAAUAAUUAUUAUAUUUCAGAAAACAAUACAAUGUAUUUUACAGUCAUUCUUCAAAGAUGAGAAGACAAAGAGUAAGUUUCUUAGUGAUAAUUGCAAAAAGGAGGUACAGCUACAUGUACAUUACAAGAAUUUCCGUAUCUUAUCUGUCCCCCAUUUAGGAUUAUUAUACAUCACUAAAAUUCCCAGUUAAAUAAUGACAUCAAAAUCUUGAAUAGAAAAUUUCUGAUACAUUGUACAACAAAGGAAAAAUUAUUGUUUUAUGACGUCAAAAGUUCAAGAGUUGCUGAUUCUAAAAUAGUGAUAAGGUCUAAAACCUUUUAGUUUACUGUUCUAGCUAUUUAGUUUUCUGUAUUAUUUAGAGUUAUUGAUAAAAACUUUGCUAAUGUUGCACACACUUCUUUUUACUUAUCAAUAUACAUGAUAUACAACUAAGGAGAUGUGGGAUAACUGACAAUGAGCAUGAUGAGACAACUGUCUACCAGAAUUUGAAUAAAUGUAUAUAAGCAAUUAAAGGUCACCAUACAUGUACAUCCUUCAAUAAUGAUAAAAACCCAUACCAUAUUGUUGGCUUUAAAAGGCUGGGCAUUAAAAAAAUGUGACUGGGAAACAACUCAUAAAGAAUUCUAACAGGCUAAUGUAUAACAAAACAAUGUACACAAAAUCAAAUAUGUCAGACCUGAAUCAAAAACAACCACUGAAAGACUGCUUCUUUCUUCUUACCAACCUGCUACAUGUACAUAUGUACUUUAAAAUUAGGCAUGUUAGAGAAAACAUUUAUCAAUCAAGAUUGUCUUUGAGUUUAUAUUAACAUUGUCAAAUGACUGUUGUAUCAUAAAUAAAUAGGAAUCUCAUUUAAUAAAAAAAUCUCACAAUGCUAUAAAAUAUUGUAUAUAAGAAUAUUAUAAUUAGAAACCUGAAAAAUAUCAAACAUUAAUCUGGUUUUAUUCUACAACUUUCAGUGACCAGUGAAGCUAUACAUUUGUCCAGAGAGUUGAUUGGGCUCUUUAUAACAGGUAGGUGUAUUUUCUAAUACAAAUAGUUUUGUCCAGAGCUCAGGUACUUUUUAUAUAAUCAUUCUUUUACCUAUUCUAAGAUGGGACUCAGACUUCUUUUAAACUGAGUUUUUAUUGUACAUUUUUUGUUAGUCUUGUAUUUUAAAAUUUUUGGUUCAUUGGUACAUUUUCAGAAUUUAGUGUGAAACCAAUUUUGCUGAACUAGUAUACAAUAUGUUAAGAGGCUUACAGGAUUUUGAGGGAUUUUGUUGCUGUAUGGAAGACUCAAUGAUUGCCUUUGACUGUUUUCUGCUAAUAUGAAGUUGUUGUCUCUAUUCUAUUGUAAUAUGUAACUUUUGUAUAUACUCCAUUUCAAGAUCUUCACCUUGUGGUCAUUCUUAUAGUAACAAGUAUUUUGUAUUACAUUUAAAAAACAUGUAUUUGCAGAAGUUGAAAGAAAAGAUAAUUAUACAUAGUAGUUAAUAGGCACAAACCUCAAUUUGAUUCACUUUCUCUUCAUCUCUUGUGCAUAUACAUGUAUAUGUAUAUAGUUAUAUCAUACCCGUAGCCAGGGGGGUUUGGACCCCCCGCCCCCUUGAAACCAAAUAAGCACUGUUAAAACAAAGUUCUGUUCAAAUUGUGACUGUUAAAGUCGAGUUCAUGAGUCCAAAUACUCCCCCCCUUGGAAAUUCCUGGCUACGGGCCUGUAUAUGAUACUAAGUUCUUAACACACAAUACACAUUUAUUAUAAAAACCUCAAUUGAGACAUGUUAGAAUGUUAGAAGACAAAAUGUACUUGAAAUUAAUUCUUAAAUACAAGGACAUAUACACUGUUUGCUUAUAAUAAAUGCAUAUAUUCUUUGUCCAUUUGGUUUGGGGGGACAGGGGGGACUUUGGAAUGAUGGAAACAAAAAGAUGGUGGCAGUUUUAACCAGUGGCGGAUCCAGAAAUUUUCAUAAGUGGAGGUCCACUGGCUGCCUUAGAGGUGGGCAGAUUUCGUCACGCCUCAGUGAUUCCCUAUAUAAGCAACUAAAUUUGUUUUCUCAAAAGGGGGGGGGGGGGCAGGCCCCCCUGGCACCCCCUAAAUCCACCUCUGUUAACCUGGUAGCCUUUUUGUUGGAAAGAUUACCUGUGCAUUUGUUGGCCUAUUAAAAACAUGUAUUUUUAGAUGAUGAAAUACUUUCAAUUUAUUUGCUAUUUUUCAGAGGCAAUUAUGAGGUCCUGCAAAGAGGCAGAUGUGAGUUUAAUAUAUAGUUUAUUGUUAUGGGAAUUUACUCAUCAUAUGAAUCAGAUUUACAAAAACUUACACAUUUCUUGAUGGCUUAUUCUAAGCCACUAAGGUUCACUUAACCAUGGGUUUUAGCUUUCCUUUCUGAUCAGUUAUUGACAAAAAAAAGGAGUUUAAAAUCACACAAAUUUUACUGGACAUAAAAAUCUCAUUAGUAACUGAAAUAAAAAAAAAGGAAAUAAUUGUUUUUCAAACACUAUAACUACUGAGUGUUGGGGCAGUUGAUUGUGUUUACAGAUAUGUAUGUAUGUUAUAACUUUAAUUUAAAAUGUAUUUUUUUCAGAAAGACAGCACUACCACAGUGUCAAUUGAACAUCUAGAGAAAAUUCUUCCACAACUUGUAAGUUUAAAUGUAAUUAAUCUAUUUAAGGCCACCAGUGGGUCUGCAAUAUAGUGAGAAAAUACCACACCCAAGGAAGGGCUUCAGCUUGCUCAGGAGCAAUAUGUCUACCAGCACUACUUCAGGGAAAUGGAUGCUACACUAAACUUCAAAACAUAUAAAUGAACCAAAAUUUAAAAAAACAUACAAGACUAACAAAGGCUAUAGGUUCCUGACUGGCGACAGGCACAAAAAUGCUGUAUGAUUAAACAUGUUUUAUGAGAUCUCAACCUUCCCCCUAUUCCUUUAUCCAAAGGAAAAAUAAACACACAAUAAUACACACAUUCAAACUCACAUUUCAAGCAUUCCAUUGAUACCAGUGGCUGUAGAACAUAUUUAUGCCUUCUACUUAUACUACUUAUAUUAAUACUAAGAGACAAUUGAUAAAAUACAAAACUUUAAAACAAACAAAUAUCUUCCUUAGUUAAAACUUUUCAUUGUGGACGGUCACAAAUAACCAAAUCUUUUUAUUUUACACCUCAUCUUUAGCAUGUUAGCUAAAAUGAAUUAAAAAAAAACAUUCCUACAUCAUUAUCAUAUAUGAUUAAGUGGGUGAAUAGUUGAAUUGAAAAAAUUGAAAAAGAUGAUUUAAAUAACCAUGAAUAAUAAAACACAUGCUUCUUAUAAUUUACCUUCAAUAUCAAAUGUAUUCUUAAAGGUUUGGAAUUGUCUAUUGUGUGAUUAUUUUGUUAUGUUUAUUUACAAAAAGAUAUUAUUUUUUGUCAGUUGCUGGAUUUCUGAGAUGAUUUUGCCAGAUGAAGAAUGGGCCCCUUGUGGAUGUGUAAUAUGGACUGUUAUAGAUUAUAAAUUUCAUAGACUUACUAUGUUUUACAUUAUUAUUAAAAAUAUUAUACUUUUG
rnacentral:lncRNA from 1 species